CGGCGGACGGGUAAGUAACGCGUGGGUAACCUGCCUCAUACAGGGGGAUAACAGUUGGAAACGGCUGCUAAUACCGCAUAAGCGCACAGUACCGCAUGGUACGGUGUGAAAAACUCCGGUGGUAUGAGAUGGACCCGCGUCUGAUUAGGUAGUUGGUGGGGUAACGGCCUACCAAGCCGACGAUCAGUAGCCGACCUGAGAGGGUGACCGGCCACAUUGGGACUGAGACACGGCCCAA
rnacentral:rRNA from 1 species